rnacentral:rRNA from 1 species
GUCUGCCUACGAGGGGCAGCAGUGAGGAAUAUUGGUCAAUGGUCGGGAGACUGAACCAGCCAAGCCGCGUGAGGGAUGAAAGUACAGAGUAUCGUAAACCUCUUUUGUCAGGGAACAAAGGCGGGGACGUGUCCCCGGAUGAGUGUACCUGAAGAAAAAGCAUCGGCUAACUCCGUGCCAGCAGCCGCGGUAAUACGGAGGAUGCGAGCGUUAUCCGGAUUUAUUGGGUUUAAAGGGUGCUCAGGCGGUCUGUUACGUCAGCGGUCAAAGCCCGGGGCUCAACCCCGGCCCGCCGUU